rnacentral:lncRNA from 1 species
GAGAUGCAGAUGCUGGAAUCAUGCUAAUGUAUAAAAUCCCAGGUCAAGGACUAAAUGGCACUUGAAUCUGUCAAGUCACCUACUUGGCCUUCUUUCAAGUGUACUUUACUUCCUUUCAUUCCUGCUCUAAAACUUUUUAAUAAACUUUCAUUCCUGCUCUAAAACUUGCCUUGGUUUCUCACUGUGCCUUAUGUCCCUCAGAUGAAUUUUUUCUCCUGAAGAGGCAAGAAUCAAGUUGCUGCAGACCCAUAUGGAUUUGCUGCUGCUAACAUACUUUGGUGUCGUGACUCAGAUACGUCCCCAGUGGUCAUCAAGCUCCAGAUGAUCCUCAGUGAGGGAUGCCAUCCUCUCAAUAUUCAAGUCACCCUUCUACAGCGGACCCCUAGACUGCCCAGCAGAGGGACACGACAGAGAUAAAAUCCUGCCCAUUUCCCUUGGACCUGGCUGAAUACCACUUUCACCAACCCAUGGAGCCACCCUGCCCUGACAGCUAGCAAGAGUCCAAGACCCACAGAACAACCACCACCACCCCUCUGUCAGCAGGAAGCAGUUAGAGAAGACUGACCUUCAUCCCGUUUCCCAAAGAAUUGGGUCUUGGACUCUUGAGUGGGAAAAUGUUAGAGUAGGGCAGGAGAGCACUGCCUUCCCAACCCCCUUCUCUGACACCGAGGAAUGUCAGACAACCAUUAGGUGCUGGUCAGGCAGUUGUUAAACUGUCUUGCUAAGAUAAUAGCUGGUUACAGCUGGCACUAGGGAACAGCAAAAACAACUGAAAACAAUGGAAGCUGGUGAUCAGCAGCUUCCCAAUAAGAUCUUGGGAGUUGGGUGAGUGGGCUCAAGCAUGCGCACUAAGAGGUAAAAUGGUGGAGUUUAACUGGUAGACGACCUUCCUCUGGGAACACUGGACUGAUUAGGGAAAAACCCUUCAAGUGAGUGUGCAUGCAACUUCACUAAACGUAUUGUGCAUGCAGCCCCUCCCAAGUGCUGGCAGGCCACUGCUCAUGAGGACAGCCUGCCCAAAGGGAAGAAUGGAGGAGGAGAAAUGGGGAUCCAGGAAAAAUGCCAGUGUAAAAAGACCCCAAGUCAAGGACUAAAUGGGAGCUGAAUCUCUCAAGUCGCCUGCUUGGCCCUCUUCCAAGAGUACUUUGUUUUGUUCCUGCUCUAAGACUUUUUUUUUUUUUUUUUUUGAGAUGGAGUUUCACUCUUGUUGCCCAGGCUGGAGUACAAUGGCACAGUCUCAGCUCACGGCAACCUCCACCUUCCAGGUUCAAAUGAUUCUCCUGCCUCAGCCUCCCGAGUAGCUGGGAUUACAGGUGCCCACCACUACACCAGGCAAAUUUUUGUAUUUUUAGUAGAGACACGGUUUCACCAUGUUGGCCAGGCUGGUCUCGAACUCCCGAACUCAGCUGAUCCACCUGCCUUGGCCUCCCAAAGUGCUGGGAUUACAGAUGUGAGCCACUGCACCCAGUCUCUAAAACUUUUUAAUAAACUCGCUCC